rnacentral:lncRNA from 1 species
AUAUUCUUGGCAUGAUGUUCAUCAAACUUUGGAACCCUGAGUAAACCUGUGAGAUGUUGUGCCCCAGAGUUUAUUGUUGAGUGCUAUCACUUUGAAAUCACAGUUGAUUUUGCCUGAGUUUCUCUAUUUGAACUAUUUGCUUGCUUGUUACAAAUGAUCAAGGCCAUCUUGUUCUUCGACCUCUUCUACAUUUUUGAGCCUAAAAGGUAAUGCAAAACCCUUGAACCUUGAAGAAAACCUUUAUCAUCCCAGGAACCUUAAGCUUAUUGAAAAAUCCUUAACCUCCUUACCUUGAGUUGAGAUGAACAUUUAUGUUAGGAUGAGGAGAAUGGUUUAAGUUUGGGGGAGUUUAUGAAAUAAGGGAGCAUUGAGAAAAUAAUAACAUGAGUUAAAAAGAAAGAAAAAGAAGAAAGAAGAAGAAGAGAAAGAAAAAUGCAUUCAAUGAACAAGAGUUGGGAAAAAAGUUGAGAAGUGGUUUAUCCAAUUGUGAAGCAAAAAGAGAGACUAAUGUUAUAUCAUAAAGUAAAUUGUUUUCUCUCUUAGCUCAAGGUGCUUUGUUGUCAGAAAAACCAAUUUUUCUUCUUAGCCCAACCACAUUACAAGCCUUGAAAAGUCCUUGUGAUGCUAACU